CGCUAGCGGCAGCCUAACACAUGCAAGUCGAACGGUAACUUUUGGUGCUUGCACCGAAAGACGAGUGGCGAACGGGUGCGUAACGCGUAUGCAAUCUGCCUUUUACUAGGGUAUAGCCCAGAGAAAUUUGGAUUAAUCCCCUAUAAUAUCAUUUUUCCGCAUGGUUAAAUGAUUAAAGCUUCGGCGGUAAAAGAUGAGCAUGCGUCUUAUUAGUUUGUAGGUGAGGUAACGGCUCACCUAGACUACGAUAGGUAGGGGCCCUGAGAGGGGGACCCCCCACACUGGUACUGAGACACGGACCAGACUCCUACGGGAGGCAGCAGUGAGGAAUAUUGGACAAUGGACGAAAGUCUGAUCCAGCUAUGCCGCGUGCAGGAUGACGGCCCUACGGGUUGUAAACUGCUUUUAUACAGGAAGAAAUACCCCGACGUGUCGGGGCUUGACGGUACUGUAAGAAUAAGGAUCGGCUAACUCCGUGCCAGCAGCCGCGGUAAUACGGAGGAUUCGAGCGUUAUCCGGAAUCAUUGGGUUUAAAGGGUCCGUAGGCGGUUUUUUAAGUCAGAGGUGAAAUCCUGCAGCUCAACUGUAGAAUUGCCUUUGAAACUGAAAGACUUGAGUUAUUGUGAAGUGGUUAGAAUGUGUGGUGUAGCGGUGAAAUGCAUAGAUAUCACACAGAAUACCAAUUGCGAAGGCAGAUCACUAACAAUAUACUGACGCUCAGGGACGAAAGCGUGGGUAGCGAACAGGAUUAGAUACCCUGGUAGUCCACGCCGUAAACGAUGGAUACUAGCUGUAUGUCUACCUCAGGUAGAUGUGUGGCCAAGCGAAAGUGAUAAGUAUCCCACC
rnacentral:rRNA from 1 species